UGGCGGCGUGGUUAAGACAUGCAAGUCGAACGGGAGAAUUGCUAGCUUGCUAAUAAUUCUCUAGUGGCGCACGGGUGAGUAACACGUGAGUAACCUGCCCCCAAGAGUGGGAUAGCCCCGGGAAACUGGGAUUAAUACCGCAUAAAAUCGCAAGAUUAAAGCAGCAAUGCGCUUGGGGAUGGGCUCGCGUCCUAUUAGUUAGUUGGUGAGGUAACGGCUCACCAAGGCGAUGACGGGUAGCCGGUCUGAGAGGAUGUCCGGCCACACUGGAACUGAGACACGGUCCAGACACCUACGGGUGGCAGCAGUCGAGAAUCAUUCACAAUGGGGGAAACCCUGAUGGUGCGACGCCGCGUGGGGGAAUGAAGGUCUUCGGAUUGUAAACCCCUGUCAUGUGGGAGCAAAUUAAAAAGAUAGUACCACAAGAGGAAGAGACGGCUAACUCUGUGCCAGCAGCCGCGGUAAUACAGAGGUCUCAAGCGUUGUUCGGAAUCACUGGGCGUAAAGCGUGCGUAGGCGGUUUCGUAAGUCGUGUGUGAAAGGCGGGGGCUCAACCCCCGGACUGCACAUGAUACUGCGAGACUAGAGUAAUGGAGGGGGAACCGGAAUUCACGGUGUAGCA
rnacentral:rRNA from 1 species